AGUUAUAAUAAAUUAAGCUGCUUUUAUAUUAGUAGUAAUUUCAAUGAUGAUUCAUAUUUUUUUGUCUUCUUUUCCCGACUGAUUCAUGUUGAUGUAUAAACUACCAUUUUCUGACAAACCAGUAUUUAAAUAGUUUGAUAAUUAGCCCCACAGAUACUAUAACUAUUUAUGUCAUUUUAGGAUCUCUGGGAUCCUGGGAUGAUUUGGUGUUUCUUGCUGUGCAGUAAAUCCGACUCGAAGAUAUAAAAAUAUUGGAAGAGCAGAAAUCGGCUAAAAGGAAGACUGGAUCUGGAGCAAUAUACCUACAUAGAUGUAAAGUUAUUUUUAACUAUUUCAAAUAUAUAUUAUAUUUGUAUGUGUUGUAGUUAAUGUACAAUAUAUUUUUUAUAAUACAACUACAAUAGUUACUAAUUUAAGUAUUGAUUUGUUUAUUAUGAUACAUUCAUUUUAAAUAAAUAUCAUAAGUAUUGCCAGAAUAUACCAUUAUAUUUACA